CCACACUCCACUACAGAAGUUGGGUCAUAUAUUUUUUUCCCCCUUGCCCUGUUCUGUAGACCUUGCCACUAACAGAUUGUCAUUUCAAAUGCAUUUUGUUUUCACAAAAGGCGAUAUCUAAAACCUCGCUCCCACAUGAGGCCAUUUUAAAGCUAUGGGGCAUCACCCAGCUGGUCCAGCCCUGCAUGGAUGCAAGCUACCGUGAAGACACCACUUCCCCACAGCAACACAUGAGUCGGAAGAAAGAGCAAGCUUGUCCUCACCUCUGUGGCAUCAGGAAAGCUCAACAUAUGGACAUGUCUGCCAACCCAGCUAUGCCCUGUGUUCCUUCUGGAAAGCAAUCCAGGCUGUGUAUCCAGGCAGGCUUAACCUUAACCACAAACGGCUCUGCUGAAACAGAAGACAAUCGAUUUGGUCGCUGUUCUUCAGGCGUGACAUUUAAGGCUUCCUCAUUGGGACUGGGUCAAAGGUGACUCCCACUGGAGAAUCA